rnacentral:rRNA from 1 species
UUUCUCCGCCGGCGACCGGCGCACGGGUGAGUAACACGUAUGCAACCUGCCCCUGUCAGGGGGACAACCCGCCGAAAGGCGGGCUAAACCCGCGUACAUGCCACCGGGGCAUCCCGGAGGCAGGAGAGGCUUCGGCCGGACAGGGAUGGGCAUGCGGCGCAUUAGGCAGUAGGCGGGGUAACGGCCCACCUAACCGACGAUGCGUAGGGGUUCUGAGAGGAAGGUCCCCCACACUGGUACUGAGACACGGACCAGACUCCUACGGGAGGCAGCAG